UACACUCCUACGGGAGGCAGCAGUGGGGAAUAUUGGACAAUGGGCGCAAGCCUGAUCCAGCCAUGCCGCGUGAGUGAUGAAGGCCCUAGGGUUGUAAAGCUCUUUCACCGGUGAAGAUAAUGACGGUAACCGGAGAAGAAGCCCCGGCUAACUUCGUGCCAGCAGCCGCGGUAAUACGAAGGGGGCUAGCGUUGUUCGGAUUUACUGGGCGUAAAGCGCACGUAGGCGGACUAUUAAGUCAGGGGUGAAAUCCCGGGGCUCAACCCCGGAACUGCCUUUGAUACUGGUAGUCUUGAGUUCGAGAGAGGUGAGUGGAAUUCCGAGUGUAGAGGUGAAAUUCGUAGAUAUUCGGAGGAACACCAGUGGCGAAGGCGGCUCACUGGCUCGAUACUGAUGCUGAGGUGCGAAAGCGUGGGGAGCAAACAGGAUUAGAAACCCCUGUAGUCCCAUGA
rnacentral:rRNA from 1 species